ACGAACGCUGGCGGCGUGCUUAACCCCUGCAAGUCGAACGGUGAAGGGAUCAGCUUGCUGGUUCUGGAUGAGUGGCGAACGGGUGAGUAACACGUGAGUAACCUGCCCCCUUCUUCUGGAUAACCGCAUGAAAGUGUGGCUAAUACGGGAUAUUCUGCGCCUGCUGCAUGGUGGGUGUGGGAAAGAUAUUGUUUCGGUGGGGGAUGGGCUCGCGGCCUAUCAGCUUGUUGGUGGGGUGAUGGCCUACCAAGGCGGUGACGGGUAGCCGGCCUGAGAGGGUGGACGGUAACAGGGGGACGGAGACCGGGCCAAGCCCCAUAGGGGGGGCGGGGGGGGGGAAUAUGGAACAGGGGGCGCAGCCUGAAGGCGGCGACGCCGGGUGAGGGAGGGGGGCUUCGGGGUUGGGACCCUCUUUCGCCAGGAAAGCAGGCCUGUCCUUGGGGGGUGGGUGGAGGGUGGUGGGAAAAGAAGCCCGGCUUAACUCCGU
rnacentral:rRNA from 1 species